AAUGAACGUUGGCGGCGUGGAUUAGGCAUGCAAGUCGAGCGAGAACCGUAGCAAUACGGGGACAGCGGCGAAAGGGACAGUAAUAUGUAGGUACCUACCCCGGGGUCUGGGAUAGCUGCGGGGAACUGCAGGUAAUACCGGAUAAUGUCUUCGGACCAAAGGUGUGAUUCCACCUUGGGAGGGGCCUACAUCCUAUUAGCUUGUUGGUGAGGUAACGGCUCACCAAGGCAACGAUGGGUAGCGGGUGUGAGAGCACGACCCGCGUCAUUGGGACUGAGAUACUGCCCAGACACCUACGGGUGGCUGCAGUCGAGGAUCUUCGGCAAUGGGCGAAAGCCUGACCGAGCGACGCCGCGUGUGGGAUGAAGGCCCUCGGGUUGUAAACCACUGUCAACGGGGAGGAAAUACAGAAGGGCUAUCCCUUUUGUUUGACCUAUCUGUGGAGGAAGUACGGGCUAAGUUCGUG
rnacentral:rRNA from 1 species